GAGAAUCUAGUAUGUGGGCUUGGAGAGAUUUUUAAAGAGAAAGAAAAGAUGAAGACCAUUCCCCCAUCAGCUUUCUUCCCAUGCUGCUGCCGCCCUCUCCUUCUAUGGUUUCCCCUUUCUUUUUCUUCAUUUUCUCUUCAAAUUUCUUAAAGAACCAACGAUCAAACUUAGAGAUUUUACUAAAACCACUUAGAAAACAAUCUCUAUAUUAGUUUUCCGCCAUUGAAACCUCCAUUUUCAGCAAGGGUUUAUGAGUUUUUUGUUUGAGAAAGUAAAGAUAGAAGGAGAAAGUUUUAAAAAGGUGGCGCAACAAUGAUGGUUUUCACAAUUUGCAUAUUCUACCAUCUUGGGUGGCUCGAAAAUGAUGGCUUUCACUGUUUGCAUAUCCUACCAUCCCAGGUUGCCUGAUAACGAUGGUGGCUUAAAUUCACCAUAUUGAUGACCCUAUGGCAAGUCAACUAUAUAUGAUUAUGCCCGAACAUCUAAUAAGGAAUUGUGAUGAUUAAAUUGAUUUGGAUGUUUGCACUAUGAUUGGAUUGAUAAAUGCUUGAAUGUAUGAGGGCAAGCAUUGGCUAAGUGAGGAAGGGAGAGGUUGGGGGCACUCGUUUAAAAUAUGGGUAAGACUCAGGCUUCCAUAUUCAAAGUUCAGAUCUAGUAUGACUUGAUCCAUUUUAAGUUUAUGUUUUAUUAUUUUCUUAUAUAUUAUGAAAUUUAUAUAAUAUGAAAUUGAAAUAUACUAUAUUUAUAAUAUCAAUAUUAAAAAUAUGUUA